rnacentral:rRNA from 1 species
UACGGGGUGCAGCAGGCGCGAAACCUCCACAAUGCACGCAAGUGUGAUGGGGGGAUCCUACGUGCUCAUGUUAUUCAUGGGCUUUUGUCAAAUGUAAUGAGUUUGGCGAAUAAGGGGUGGGUAAGACUGGUGCCAGCCGCCGCGGUAACACCAGCGCCCCAAGUGGCGGUCACGUUUAUUGGGCCUAAAGCGUUCGUAGCCGGUCAAGUAAAUCCUUUGUGAAAUCGACGUGCUUAACACGUCGGCGUGCAGGGGACACUGCUAGACUUGGAACCGGGAGGAGUUAGAGGUAUGUCGUGGGGACUGGUAAAAUGGGAUAAUCCACGAUGGACCGCCGAUGGCGAAGGCAUCUAACCAGAACGGAUUCGACGGUGAGGAACGAAAGCCAGGGGAGCGAACCGGAUUAGAUACCCGAGUAGUCCUGGCCGUAAACGCUGUGUGCUAGGUGUUGCCCCUUCUACGAGGAGGGGCAGUGUCGAAAUGAAGAUGUUAAGCACACCGCCUGGGAAGUACGGUCGCAAGACUGAAACUUUAAGGAAUUGGCGGGGGAGCACA